CCGCGGUAAUACAGAGGGUGCAAGCGUUAAUCGGAAUUACUGGGCGUAAAGCGCGCGUAGGUGGUUUGUUAAGUUGGAUGUGAAAGCCCCGGGCUCAACCUGGGAACUGCAUCCAAAACUGGCAAGCUAGAGUAUGGUAGAGGGUGGUGGAAUUUCCUGUGUAGCGGUGAAAUGCGUAGAUAUAGGAAGGAACACCAGUGGCGAAGGCGACCACCUGGACUGAUACUGACACUGAGGUGCGAAAGCGUGGGGAGCAAACAGGAUUA
rnacentral:rRNA from 1 species